AAAGUACUCCCUCCGUCCCAAAAUUUCUUGUCUCAGAUUUGUCUAGAUACGGAUGUAUGAAGUCACAUUUUAAUAUUAGAUACAUCCAUAUCUAGACAAAUCUAAGAUAAGAAUUUUGGGACAAAGGGAGUAGUUG
rfam:Triticum aestivum genome assembly, contig: Triticum_aestivum_CS42_TGACv1_scaffold_513840_6BS